CGUCUCAAGACCAAAGUGGGGGACCUUCUGGCCUCUUGCCAUCAGAUGUGCCCAGAUGGGAUUAGCUUGUAGGUGAGGUAACGGCUCACCUAGGCGACGAUCCCUAGCUGGUCUGAGAGGAUGACCAGCCACACUGGAACUGAGACACGGUCCAGACUCCUACGGGAGGCAGCAGUGGGGAAUAUUGCACAAUGGGCGCAAGCCUGAUGCAGCCAUGCCGCGUGUAUGAAGAAGGCCUUCGGGUUGUAAAGUACUUUCAGCGAGGAGGAAGGCGAUAAGGUUAAUAACCUUAUCGAUUGACGUUACUCGCAGAAGAAGCACCGGCUAACUCCGUGCCAGCAGCCGCGGUAAUACGGAGGGUGCAAGCGUUAAUCGGAAUUACUGGGCGUAAAGCGCACGCAGGCGGUCUGUUAAGUCAGAUGUGAAAUCCCCGGGCUCAACCUGGGAACUGCAUUUGAAACUGGCAGGCUUGAGUCUUGUAGAGGGGGGUAGAAUUCCAGGUGUAGCGGUGAAAUGCGUAGAGAUCUGGAGGAAUACCGGUGGCGAAGGCGGCCCCCUGACAAAGA
rnacentral:rRNA from 1 species